UACAGAGGGGGCAAGCGUUGUUCGGAAUUACUGGGCAUAAAGCGCACGUAGGUGGUCCGCUAAGUCGGAUGUGAAAUUCCCCGGCUCAACCGGGGAACGGCAAUCGAUACUGGCGGGCUUGAGGUCCGGAGGGGUGAGUGGAACUCCUGGUGGAGCGGUGAAAUGCGUAGAUAUCAGGAGGAACACCAGUGGCGAAAGCGGCUCACUGGCCUGAAUCUGACACUGAGGUGCGAAAGCUAGGGUAGCAAACGGG
rnacentral:rRNA from 1 species